rnacentral:rRNA from 1 species
AGUGAACGCUGGCGGUAGGCCUAACACAUGCAAGUCGAACGGCAGCACAGGAGAGCUUGCUCUCUGGGUGGCGAGUGGCGGACGGGUGAGGAAUACAUCGGAAUCUACUUUUUCGUGGGGGAUAACGUAGGGAAACUUACGCUAAUACCGCAUACGACCUACGGGUGAAAGCAGGGGACCUUCGGGCCUUGCGCGAUUGAAUGAGCCGAUGUCGGAUCAGCUAGUUGGCGGGGUAAAGGCCCACCAAGGCGACGAUCCGUAGCUGGUCUGAGAGGAUGAUCAGCCACACUGGAACGGAGACACGGUCCAGACUCCUACGGGAGGCAGCAGUGGGGAAUAUUGGACAAUGGGCGCAAGCCUGAUCCAGCCAUACCGCGUGGGUGAAGAAGGCCUUCGGGUUGUAAAGCCCUUUUGUUGGGAAAGAAAUCCAGCUGGCUAAUACCCGGUUGGGAUGACGGUACCCAAAGAAUAAGCACCGGCUAACUUCGUGCCAGCAGCCGCCGCAG